rnacentral:rRNA from 1 species
AAGUCGUAACAAGGUUUCCGUAGGUGAACCUGCGGAAGGAUCAUUACAGAGAACAUGCCCCUCUGGGGUAGAUCUCCAACCCUAUGUUUAUUCUACCCACGUUGCUUUGGUAGGCCCGCCUGACGGCCGCCGGCGUCUCCGCUGGCCAGCGCCUACCAGAGGACCCCAAACUCUCAGUUUACUGUCGUCCGAUUCUCUUUUUAUAAUAAAAGAAAACUUUCAACAACGGAUCUCUUGGUUCUGGCAUCGAUGAAGAACGCAGCGAAAUGCGAUAAGUAAUGUGAAUUGCAGAAUUCAGUGAAUCAUCGAAUCUUUGAACGCACAUUGCACCCCUUGGUAUUCCGGGGGGUAUGCCUGUCCGAGCGUCAUUUCAACCCUCAAGCAUCGCUUGGUAUUGGGCAUCACCGUCCUGGUGGGCCUCAAAAUUAGUGGCGGUGCCAUCUGGUCUCCAGCGUAGUAAAUCUCUCGCUGUGGGGUCACGAAUGUGCCAUCCGCCAGCAAUCAAACCUCCAGUUUGACCUCGGAUCAGGUAGGGAUACCCGCUGAACUUAAGCAUAUCAAUAAGCGGAGGAAAAGAAACCAACAGGGAUUGCCUCAGUAACGGCGAGUGAAGCGGCAACAGCUCAAAUUUGAAAUCUGGCCUCGCGGUCCGAAUUGUAAUUUGUAGAGGAUGCUUCGGACGAAGUCUAGUCUAAGUUUCUUGGAAUAGAACGUCGUAGAGGGUGAGAACCCCGUAUGCGACUAGGCCCUUCGAUCCAUGUGAAGCUCCUUCAACGAGUCGAGUUGUUUGGGAAUGCAGCUCUAAAUGGGUGGUAAAUUUCAUCUAAAGCUAAAUACCGGCCAGAGACCGAUAGCGCACAAGUAGAGUGAUCGAAAGAUGAAAAGCACUUUGGAAAGAGAGUUAAACAGUACGUGAAAUUGUUGAAAGGGAAGCGCUUGCAACCAGACUUGCACCCAGCUGAUCAUCCGAUGUUCUCACCGGUGCACUCAGCUGGAUUCAGGCUAGCAUCGGUUCCGGUGGUUGGAUAAAGACCUCAGGAAUGUGGCUUCUCUCGGGGAGUGUUAUAGCCUGUGGUGCCAUGCGGCCUACCGGGACCGAGGACCGCGCUUCGGCUAGGAUGCUAGCGUAAUGGUUGUAAGCGACC